rnacentral:rRNA from 1 species
UACGUAGGGGGCAAGCGUUGUCCGGAUUUAUUGGGCGUAAAGAGCGUGUAGGCGGCUUGGUAGGUCCGCUGUGAAAACUCGAGGCUCAACCUCGAGAUGUCGGCGGAAACCACUUGGCUAGAGUCCGGAAGAGGAGAGUGGAAUUCCUGGUGUAGCGGUGAAAUGCGCAGAUAUCAUUUGGAACGCCAAUGGUGAAAACAGGUAGCUGGGGCUGUGCUGACGCUGAGACACGAAAGCCAGGGGAGCAAACGGG